rnacentral:rRNA from 1 species
UACGUAGGGGGCGAGCGUUGUCCGGAAUUACUGGGCGUAAAGGGCGUGUAGGCGGUGGCUUAAGUCAGAUGUGAAAUUCCAGGGCUUAACCUUGGGACUGCAUUUGAAACUGAGUUACUUGAGGGCAGGAGAGGAAAGCGGAAUUCCCAGUGUAGCGGUGAAAUGCGUAGAUAUUGGGAGGAACACCAGUGGCGAAGGCGGCUUUCUGGACUGCACCUGACGCUGAGGCGCGAAAGCCAGGGGAGCGAACGGG